GCUGCUCAAACUCUUCCUUCACUCCGUGGAGAGGAAUUAUAUCCCUGAAUAAGGAUCUUAGAUUUAGCAUCUGCAGCGUGGAAAUGUCCCUGCCAGCAGGCAUUACGUCUGAAGAUGUUUUCUGUGCAGUCUCGGUUGACUUUGGCCUGCCGAUGAAGGUCAUCUACACAGGUUGGUCUGCUUCCUGGCAGGAAGACGUUCUCCUGUUGAUGCCAGGGUGCUGUGUAGUGCACCGACCACUUGCUUUCCUCAUCUAGGCUGGAUACCGCUAUAGCAAAAACCAAAAAGAACAGAUAAAACACUGCAUGAGGGGCCGCCGGCCAAUCAAACACUUCUGCACCACUGCGUCUAAAGACACAGGAGACAUGUUCGACUCUGGCUGGUGCCUUGACAACCCAGAUUAAACGAUCAAUUAUGUCUGGGCCCUCCGGGUAAGCUUAAGCGGGUCAGCUUUACCAAUGCAGCGCUAUAGCAUGUCAGCGAUCAUAGAUUAUUCACAAUCAAAGGUUCCUCGAGAACAGAGGGUCGUGCAGGAGGUAGUAGGUCAUGGGAUCAAAAUACAUGAAUGAAGGGAACUGAGGUCAAAUUGUAAAAAAAAGUCAAAAUUGUCUAAAAGAAAAUAGAUGAGAUGUGUAAAUGUAAUGCAAAGUUUUAUGUAAUGCAAACUUGAUUGUGCAAAACUAAGAUCAAUAAUGAUUUUACGCUUUUACAGUCAUCUAAAUAAUGAUCUCCACAUACAGUAAAACAAAAAAUGAUUUAUAUUUCAAAUGAAACAUCUCAAAAGAACCAUGUAUUCAGUCAAGAUAAAAGUGGCAACUAUGCAGCAACCUGCAUCAAUUGGUGAUGCACAAAAAGGGAAUUGCAUCCCCUAUAUAAACCUAUAUAAAGGAUACCAAAAAAAGAAACUCGCAAACACUGCACUAAAAAAGACGCAUGCAGCAUUGAUGCAAAAUCCCACACCCCAAACUACUUGAGCGAUACUUGACCUUGAGUUACACGAGUGAUAAGAUAAAGCCAAAACGCUACGGUGCAAGAG